GUGGAGAGUGAACAAGUCAUAGAGAUCACUCCAGAAUUUCUAGAACCCAUUACAAGGUUCCUCGACCCAAAAACUUGUGUCGGUGACCAGACCUCAUCUUCGCCGUUCCAAGACAACACGGUGGCUGAUCAAUUUCGUCUAACGGGUCUCAUCGUCGAGCCUUAGCCUUUGGUCACUGAUCGUGCAUGUGUGGAGCGAAGAAGAAAGACCGACGCCGAGUGUUCGGCAACUCAGAUGGUUUUGCAGCAAUAUUCAGCGGCUCUGGUUGCCGGUGAUAACAUAUAAGUACCUUCCACAUCAUCCUCGGUGUGUAUCUUCUCCUUGUGUUGGUCUUCUGCUGUCACUAAGUGAAGUCAAGGUUGAAGGAGAAAAGGGAUUUUCAGUUCGAGAAUUUGGCAGUCGCCAAGGAAUUAUGAUCAAGGAGAGAAUCAAAGGAGAUGCAGAUUAAUUGGAUGACAGAGACAGAAUAAAGGUGAACUGGUUCUGUAUCGUAUCCCAAUUUGAUACCAGAUAAUGAUGUCAAUGAGAAAGAUUCAGUGAAGUUGUGGAGGUGAAGGAUAUUGGGAGGAAUACAAGUUAUCUGUUUGUUGUAAGUGUGCAGACAUCAACUUACCCCUGACCUUGUACGCAUAAGGGACUCCAAUUACCUGGAACUAGAAGAUGGUGGUGUUGGCCUAGGAAAGCAAAUGGAAAAGAAAACGGCGAUAUUCCAGGUAGGGGAUUCUGGACUUGCCUCAGUUAGUGGUUUUAUGCAUAUGAUAGUAAAGUAAGUGAUUUAUGCAUGAAAGAUAUAUUUUCGAUUUGUUGUGAAUUACUGUUUGAUGACCUGAGAGUGAGCGGGGCAUAGUGACUUCCUUGGGUUUCGAUCCCUUAAACCUUCGGAAGGGCUGUAUGAACACUCUUACAUCCUUUGAGGUGUAGCACUGCUUCUAGGCGACGGCGUAAAUGGACACUCUCGCUACACCUUGCUAGUGUGUACGAUAAUAAUCGUGGUAAGGUGGUAGUUGGCUUGAGAUAGACCGGUCAUCAGGUUUGUAUUUAUUUCUUGGGCCCUACCUGCAUUUCUUUUUACAAGGAAUGUUUAUUUUAAAUCGUUAUGCAUUAUUUUCACUACUAGCCAUGACAAAUGUUUAUAUUGUUUUCACACCUGGCUGGGGUAAAGUUUAUUGAGCAACGAGGAUGAAAGCUCACCCCUACAACAAUUUGUGGAUGCAGGUACUAUGUACAAAGACGAGACAAGUGGACAGCGUUGGGUGUGGCUUAGAUUCUCUGUACUUCAUGUCAUUGACAGAAUUAGAUCUGUAUGAUUGGUUUUCUUUAUUUUUCUGUCCUU